rnacentral:rRNA from 1 species
CAUGGGAUAAUGGAAUAGGACCCUGUCCUCCUAUUUUCAGUUGGUUUUGGCAGCGCGAGGACUAGGGUAAUGAUUAAUAGGGAUAGUUGGGGGCAUUAAUAUUUAAUUGUCAGAGGUGAAAUUCUUGGAUUUAUGAAAGAUUAACUUCUGCGAAAGCAUCUGCCAAGGAUGUUUUCAUUAAUCAAGAACGAAAGUUAGGGGAUCGAAGACGAUCAGAUACCGUCGUAGUCUUAACCAUAAACGAUGCCGACCAGCGAUUAGGAGACGUUGAAUACAAAACACCACCAUCGGUUGCGGUCGUCCUUGGCGUCUCGGUUUCGGCCGGGGCGCGGGGACGGUUUAGCCCGGUGGCACCGGUGAAUGA